GGGGAAUAUUGGGCAAUGGACGCAAGUCUGACCCAGCAACGCCGCGUGAGUGACGAAGGUCUUCGGAUUGUAAAGCUCUGUCGUUUGGGACGAACGUGGAUUGUGUGAAUAAUGCAAUCUAAUGACGGUACCAAAGGAAGAAGCCACGGCUAACUCCGUGCCAGCAGCCGCGGUAAUACGUAGGUGGCAAGCGUUGUCCGGAAUUAUUGGGCGUAAAGGGCGUGUAGGUGGAUUCUUAAGUCGUGUGUCUAAGUGCGGUGCUCAACACCGUAUGGGCGCAGGAAACUGGGAAUCUUGAGUGCAGGAGAGGAAAGUGGAAUUCCCAGUGUAGCGGUGUAAUGCGUAGAUAUUGGGAGGAACACCAGUGGCGCAGGCGACUUUCUGGACUGUGUCUGACACUGAGGCGCGAACGCCAGAGGAGCGAACG
rnacentral:rRNA from 1 species